AAACCGAGGAAAUACCCCCCUCAUUCCCAGGCCGGGGGCGUAAAAGCCGGCGCGAGAGCGCCGCCAGGAGGAGCAGAAACGCCACAGCCCAUGGCAAGGAUGAUUUCCUGCGAAUGACGUUGCCAUGGGAUUUGGUGAAACGGCCUCCUGCCCGGAGCAAGUCCAAACACCGGGAUCGGCUGCCUGGGACCGCCCGGGGGUGGGACGCAAAGACGAAUGCCACCUAAAACAGAAGGGGGAUUACUGCCUGCACCU
rnacentral:RNase_P_RNA from 1 species